GCCGCUCAGAUUGAACGCUGGCGGCAGGCUUAACACAUGCACGUAAAGAGUCGAGCGGGGAAAGGUAGCGUUGCUACUGGACCUAGCGGCGGACGGGUGAGUAAUGCUUAGGAAUCUGCCUAUUAGUGGGGGACAACAUUCCGAAAGGAAUUAGAUAAUGCUAAUACCGCAUACGGAGAAAGCAGGGGACCUUCGGGCCUUGCGCUAAUAGGCUAUAGGAUGAGCCUAAGUCGGAUUAGCUAGUUGGUGGGGUAAAGGCCUACCAAGGCGACGAUCUGUAGAGAGGAUGAUCCGCCACACUGGGACUGAGACACGGCCCUAGCGACCAGACUCCUACGGGAGGCAGCAGUUUGGACAAUGGGGGGAACCCUGAUCCAGCCAUGCCGCGUGUGUGAAGAAGGCCUUAUGGUUGUAAAGCACUUUAAGCGAGGAGGAGGCUACUAGUAUUAAUACUACUGGAUAGUGGACGUUACUCGCAGAAUAAGCACCGGCUAACUCUGUGCCAGCAGCCAUUUCGGAGCGGUAAUACAGAGGGUGCGAGCGUUAAUCGGAUUUACUGGCGUGCGUAGGCGGCCAUUUAAGUCAAAUGUGAAAUCCCCGAGCUUAACUUGGGAAUUGCAUUCGAUACUGGAUGGCUAGAGUAUGGGAGAGGAUGGUAGAAUUCCAGGUGUAGCGGUGAAAUGCGUAGAGAUCUGGAGGAAUACCGAUGGCGAAGGCAGCCAUCUGCUGACGCUGAGGUACGAAAGCAUGGGGAGCAAACAGUUACCACGGCCCUGGUAACGAUGUCUACUAGCCCGUUGGGGCCUUUGAGGCUUUAGUGGGGAAUAUCCUGCCAGCUUGGGCGCAGCUAACGCGAUAAGUUAGACCGCCUGGGGAGUACGGUCCGCAAGACUAAAAACUCAAAUGAAUUGACGGGGGCCCGCACAAGCGGUGGAGCAUGUGGUUUAAUUCGAUGCAACGCGAAGAACCUUACCUGGCCUUGACAUACUAGAAACUUUCCAGAGAUGGAUUGGUGCCUUCGGGAUCUAGAUACAGGUGCUGCAUGGCUGUCGUCAGCUCGUGUCGUGAGAUGUUGGGUUAAGUCCCGCAACGAGCGCAACCCUUGUCCUACGUUCCUUACUGGGAACUUUAAGGAUACUGCCAGUGACAAACUGGAGGAAGGCGGGGACGACGUCAAGUCAUUACCAGAACAUGGCCCUUACGGCCAGGGCUACACACGUGCUACAAUGGUCCGGGGGUACAAAGGGUUUAAUAGUUUGAGAUGCUAAUCUCAAAAAGCCGAUCGUAGUCCGGAUUGGAGUCUGCAACUCGACUCCAUGAAGUCGGAAUCGCUAGUAAUCGCGGAUCAGAAUGCCGCGGUGAAUACGUUCCCGGGCCUUGUACACACCGCCCGUCACACCAUGGGAGUUUUGUUGCAGUAGGUAGUCUAACCGCAAGGAGGACGCUAGUCCAUGCCGUAGUCU
rnacentral:rRNA from 1 species